rnacentral:rRNA from 1 species
GACGUAGGGCGCGAGCGUUGUCCGGAUUUAUUGGGCGUAAAGAGCUCGUAGGCGGCUUGUCGCGUCGACUGUGAAAUCUCAGAGCUCAACUCUGACAUUGCAGUCAAUACGGGCAGGCUAGAGUUCGGUAGGGGAGACUGGAAUUCCUGGUGUAGCGGUGAAAUGCGCAGAUAUCAGGAGGAACACCGAUGGCGAAGGCAGGUCUCUGGGCCGAUACUGACGCUGAGGAGCGAAAGCGUGGGGAGCGAACAGG